rnacentral:rRNA from 1 species
AUUGAACGCUGGCGGCAGGCUUAACACAUGCAAGUCGAGCGGGGUGAUGGUGCUUGCACUAUCACUUAGCGGCGGACGGGUGAGUAAUGCUUAGGAAUCUGCCUAUUAGUGGGGGACAACAUCUCGAAAGGGAUGCUAAUACCGCAUACGUCCUACGGGAGAAAGCAGGGGAUCACUUGUGACCUUGCGCUAAUAGAUGAGCCUAAGUCGGAUUAGCUAGUUGGUGGGGUAAAGGCCUACCAAGGCGACGAUCUGUAGCGGGUCUGAGAGGAUGAUCCGCCACACUGGGACUGAGACACGGCCCAGACUCCUACGGGAGGCAGCAGUGGGGAAUAUUGGACAAUGGGGGGAACCCUGAUCCAGCCAUGCCGCGUGUGUGAAGAAGGCCUUAUGGUUGUAAAGCACUUUAAGCUAGGAGGAGGCUCUUUUGGUUAAUACCCAAGAUGAGUGGACGUUACUCGCAGAAUAAGCACCGGCUAACUCUGUGCCAGCCGCCGCAGUAAAAC